CCAAACUUGUUGCUUCGGGGGCGACCCUGCCGACGACUUCGUCGCCGGGCGCCCCCGGAGGUCUUCUAAACACUGCAUCUUUGCGUCGGAGUUUAAACAAAUUAAACAAAACUUUCAACAACGGAUCUCUUGGUUCUGGCAUCGAUGAAGAACGCAGCGAAAUGCGAUAAGUAAUGUGAAUUGCAGAAUUCAGUGAAUCAUCGAAUCUUUGAACGCACAUUGCGCCCUUUGGUAUUCCGAAGGGCAUGCCUGUUCGAGCGUCAUUUCACCACUCAAGCCUGGCUUGGUAUUGGGCGUCGCGGUGUUCCGCGCGCCUUAAAGUCUUCCGGCUGAGCUGUCCGUCUCUAAGCGUUGUGGAUUUUUCAAUUCGCUUCGGAGUGCGGGUGGCCGCGGCCGUUAAAUCUUUAUUCAAAGGUUGACCUCGGAUCAGGUAGGGAUA
rnacentral:rRNA from 1 species